rnacentral:siRNA from 1 species
AGCGGACCUUAUCUAGUUGUUUAU